GGUUGUGGCUCAGGGGUAGAGCACUUGCCUUGUACGUGUGAUGCCCUGGGUUCAAUCCUUAGCACCA
rnacentral:tRNA from 1 species